rnacentral:lncRNA from 1 species
AACAUGAAUUUGAAUUUAAAAAUUAAUAUGUUAACUUACCAAUUCAUUAUUUAUAAUUAAGUGAACAUUUGUCAAUUAUAUAAACUCUUAAAAACUUUAAAAUUGAUAUAUUAACCUGACACACUCGGUUCAACAACUACUGACUAAAAUUUAGCUCCUUCAAGUGCUGGGGAAGUGGAAGCUUAAAACCGAAAUUGAGAGGAAAAAAUGCCAAUUCAUGCCAAAGAUGGCCUCUAUGUAAUCUCAGCAACUUCGUAGAGAAAGCGAGAGAGAUGGAUGAAUAACCUGGAUUGAUUUCCUGUUGAUCUGCCACUAAAAGAGACUCGUCUUGUGACGAUUUCUGGCCACUGUUGCCAUGUGCUGAUAUGCAAACUGUGCUAACAAUAAUGUAAUGGUAGAUGAA